UCCUGCACAGAACCACCAGAUGGGCAGUUGGUCACCUGCAUAUGCCAACGAGUGGACAAUAGCGACGUCCCAACGAACUAACCUGGAGCAUAGCGUCUAGUUCCAAGGUGGACACCAGCAUCAACCUAACGACAAUUUCCUUCACCUGGAUGGAAAAUAUAACCCAUAGAGACUGCUUAGCCAAGAGUGCUUUAGGGCAAUCAAGGGUUGGAUAGGCACAAAUUAAGCUACCAACAUCUGGAACAAACUCAAAUCAAUGGAUUGUAGUUGGAACAGUAAUAGCCCUACUCAUUGUUACACUGUUCGUCUUUUGCUUGUAUCACUUUUAUAGAGAUAGAGGUUGUCAGUGUAAGAGCCUUCCAUGUUUAAGGGAUAGGACAAAGGUAUUCAAU